GAUGAAGAACGCAGCGAAAUGCGAUAAGUAAUGUGAAUUGCAGAAUUCAGUGAAUCAUCGAAUCUUUGAACGCACAUUGCGCCCGUUAGCAUUCUAGCGGGCAUGCCUGUCCGAGCGUCAUUUCAACCCUCAGGGUCCCCGUUCCGGCGGGGAACCUGGUGUUGGGGAUCGGCCCGCCCCGUGCGGCGCCGUCCCCCAAAUUCAGUGGCGGUCUCGCUGCAGCCUCCCCUGCGUAGUAGUUACAACCUCGCAUCGGAGCUCAGCGCGGCCACGCCGUAAAACCCCCGACUUUCUGAACGUUGACCUCCGAUCAGGUAGGAAUACCCGCUGAACUUAAGCAUAUCAAUAAGCGGAGGA
rnacentral:misc_RNA from 1 species